rnacentral:rRNA from 1 species
CCUACGGGAGGCAACAGUGGGGAAUAUUGGACAAUGGGGGCAACCCUGAUCCAGCCAUGCCGCGUGUGUGAAGAAGGCCCUCGGGUUGUAAAGCACUUUCAGUGAGGAAGAACGCCUGGUGGUUAAUACCCAUCAGGAAAGACAUCACUCACAGAAGAAGCACCGGCUAACUCCGUGCCAGCAGCCGCGGUAAUACGGAGGGUGCGAGCGUUAAUCGGAAUUACUGGGCGUAAAGCGCGCGUAGGUGGCUUGAUAAGCCGGUUGUGAAAGCCCCGGGCUCAACCUGGGAACGGCAUCCGGAACUGUCAAGCUAGAGUGCAGGAGAGGAAGGUAGAAUUCCCGGUGUAGCGGUGAAAUGCGUAGAGAUCGGGAGGAAUACCAGUGGCGAAGGCGGCCUUCUGGACUGACACUGACACUGAGGUGCGAAAGCGUGGGUAGCAAACAGGAUUAGAUACCCCUGUAGUC